AUGAACGCUGGCGGCGUGCCUAAUACCUGCAAGUCGAGCGAACGGACGAGAAGCUUGCUUCUCUGAUGUUAGCGGCGGACGGGUGAGUAACACGUGGAUAACCUACCUAUAAGACUGGGAUAACUUCGGGAAACCGUAGCUAAUACCGGAUAAUAUUUUGAACCGCAUGGUUCAAAAGUGAAAGACGGUCUUGCUGUCACUUAUAGAUGGAUCCGCGCUGCAUUAGCUAGUUGGUAAGGUAACGGCUUACCAAGGCAACGAUGCAUAGCCGACCUGAGAGGGUGAUCGGCCACACUGGAACUGAGACACGGUCCAGACUCCUACGGGAGGCAGCAGUAGGGAAUCUUCCGCAAUGGGCGAAAGCCUGACGGAGCAACGACGCGUGAGUGAUGAAGGUCUUCGGAUCGUAAAACUCUGUUAUUAGGGAAGAACAUAUGUGUAAGUAACUGUGCACAUCUUGACGGUACCUAAUCAGAAAGCCACGGCUAACUACGUG
rnacentral:rRNA from 1 species